GACGAACUGUCCUAACGUUGUUCGGAAUCACUGGGCUUAAAGGGCGCGUAGGCGGUCCGACAAGUCAGGAGUGAAAUCCUGCAGCUUAACUGCAGAAGUGCCUUUGAUACUGUCGGUCUUGAGGGAGAUAGGGGUGUGCGGAACUCACAGUGGAGCGGUGAAAUGCGUUGAUAUUGUGAGGAACGCCGGAGGCGAAAGCGGCGCACUGGAUCUCUUCUGACGCUGAGGCGCGAAAGCUAGGGGAGCAAACGGG
rnacentral:rRNA from 1 species